GACGAACGCUGGCGGCGUGCUUAACACAUGCGAGUCGAACGGAAAGGCCCUGCUUUUGUGGGGUGCUCGAGUGGCGAACGGGUGAAUAACACGUGAGUAACCUGCCCUUGACUUUGGGAUAACUUCAGGAAACUGGGGCUAAUACCGGAUAGGAGCUCCUGCUGCAUGGUGGGGGUUGGAAAGUUUCGGCGGUUGGGGAUGGACUCGCGGCUUAUCAGCUUGUUGGUGGGGUAGUGACUUACCAAGGCUUUGACGGGUAGCCGGCCUGAGAGGGUGACCGGCCACAUUGGGACUGAGAUACGGCCCAGACUCCUACGGGAGGCAGCAGUGGGGAAUAUUGCACAAUGGGCGGAAGCCUGAUGCAGCAACGCCGCGUGCGGGAUGACGGCCUUCGGGUUGUAAACCGCUUUCGCCUGUGACGAAGCGUGAGUGACGGUAAUGGGUAAAGAAGCACCGGCUAACUACGUG
rnacentral:rRNA from 1 species